UACGAAGGGGGCUAGCGUUGCUCGGAAUUACUGGGCGUAAAGCGUACGUAGGCGGAUCAUUAAGUCAGGGGUGAAAUCCCGGGGCUCAACCUCGGAACUGCCUUUGAUACUGGUGAUCUUGAGUCCGGGAGAGGUGAGUGGAACUCCUAGUGUAGAGGUGAAAUUCGUAGAUAUUAGGAAGAACACCAGUGGCGAAGGCGGCUCACUGGCCCGGAACUGACGCUGAGGUACGAAAGCGUGGGGAGCAAACAGG
rnacentral:rRNA from 1 species